GCAAGGAAUUUUGCACAAUCGACGCAAGUCGGAUGCAGCAACGCCGCGUGGGGGAUGAAGGCUCUCGGGUUGUAAACCCCUUUUGCGAGGGAAGAAGAUCUGACGGUACCUCGCGAAUAAGUCACGGCUAACUACGUGCCAGCAGCCGCGGUAAUACGUAGGUGGCGAACGUUGUCCGGAUUCACUGGGCGUAAAGCGCGCGCAGGCGGACUGAUAAGUCAGAGGUGAAAUCUCCCGGCUCAACUGGGAGGGGCCCUUUGAUACUGUCAGUCUUGAGGCACCUAGAGGAGAGUGGAAUUCCCGGUGUAGUGGUGGAAUGCGUAGAUAUCGGGAGGAACACCAGUGGCGAAAGCGACUCUCUGGGGGUGACCUGACGCUGAGGCGCGAAAGCGUGGGGAGCAAACGGGAUUAGAAACCCCAGUAGUCC
rnacentral:rRNA from 1 species